ACGCAAUAGAUACCCCGGUAGUCCACGCCGUAAACGAUGAGUGCUAAGUGUUAGAGGGUUUCCGCCCUUUAGUGCUGCAGCUAAACGCAUUAAGCACUCCGCCUGGGGAGUACGGUCGCAAGACUGAAACUCAAAGGAAUUGACGGGGGCCCGCACAAGCGGUGGAGCAUGUGGUUUAAUUCGAAGCAACGCGAAGAACCUUACCAGGUUUUGACAUCCUCUGACAACUCUAGAGAUAGAGCGUUCCCCUUCGGGGGACGGAGUGACAGGUGGUGCAUGGUUGUCGUCAGCUCGUGUCGUGAGAUGUUGGGUUAAGUCCCGCAACGAGCGCAACCCUUGAUCUUAGUUGCCAGCAUUUAGUUGGGCACUCUAAGGUGACUGCCGGUGACAAGCCGGAGGAAGGUGGGGAUGACGUCAAAUCAUCAUGCCCCUUAUGACCUGGGCUACACACGUGCUACAAUGGAUGGUACAAAGGGCUGCAAGACCGCGAGGUCAAGCCAAUCCCAUAAAACCCAUUCUCAGUUCGG
rnacentral:rRNA from 1 species